GACGAACGCUGGCGGUGUGCCUCACACAUGCAAGUCGAGCGGACGAAGAUUGAAGCUUGCUUCAGUCCAAGUUAGCGGCGGACGGGUGAGUAACACGUAGGAAUCUGCCUUCAGGCGGGGGACAACGGAACGAAAGUUGCGCUAAUACCCCAUAUGCGAGUAAUCGUAAAAGGAGCAAUCCACCGGAAGAUGAGCCUGCGUCCGAUUAGCUAGUUGGUAGGGUAAAAGCCUACCAAGGCUACGAUCGGUAGUUGGUCUGAGAGGAUGAUCAGCCACAAUGGAACUGAGACACGGUCCAUACUCCUACGGGAGGCAGCAGUGGGGAAUUUUACGCAAUGGGCGAAAGCCUGACGUAGCGACACCGCGUGAGCGAAGAAGCCUUUUGGGGUGUAAAGCUCUGUCAGCUGGAACGAACACAAUGACGGUACCAGCAGAGGAAGCAUCGGCUAACUACGUG
rnacentral:rRNA from 1 species